CCUACGGGGGACAGCAGUGGGGAAUAUUGGGCAAUGGGCGCAAGCCUGACCCAGCAACGCCGCGUGAAGGAAGAAGGCUUUCGGGUUGUAAACCUCUUUUGUCAGGGAAGAGUAGAAGACGGUACCUGACGAAUAAGCUACGGCUAACUACGUGCCAGCAGCCGCGGUAAUACGUAGGUGGCAAGCGUUGUCCGGAUUUACUGGGUGUAAAGGGCGUGUAGCCGGGUUGACAAGUCAGAUGUGAAAUCCUGCGGCUUAACCGCAGAACUGCAUUUGAAACUGUUGAUCUUGAGUACGGGAGAGGCAGACGGAAUUCCUGGUGUAGCGGUGAAAUGCGUAGAUAUUAGGAGGAACACCAGUGGCGAAGGCGGUCUGCUGGACAGCAACUGACGGUGAGGCGCGAAAGCGUGGGGAGCAAACAGGAUUAGAUACCCCGGUAGUC
rnacentral:rRNA from 1 species